rnacentral:rRNA from 1 species
UACGGAGGGUGCAAGCGUUAAUCGGAAUUACUGGGCGUAAAGCGUGCGCAGGCGGUUUGUUAAGUCUGUUGUGAAAUCCCCGAGCUCAACUUGGGAAUUGCAAUGGAUACUGGCAGGCUGGAGUAUGGUAGAGGAAGGUGGAAUUCCCGGUGUAGCAGUGAAAUGCGUAGAGAUCGGGAGGAACACCAGUGGCGAAGGCGGCCUUCUGGACCAAUGCUGACGCUCAUGCACGAAAGCGUGGGGAGCAAACAGG